rnacentral:rRNA from 1 species
UACGAAGGGGGCUAGCGUUGUUCGGAAUUACUGGGCGUAAAGCGCACGUAGGCGGAUAUUUAAGUCAGGGGUGAAAUCCCAGAGCUCAACUCUGGAACUGCCUUUGAUACUGGGUAUCUUGAGUAUGGAAGAGGUAAGUGGAAUUGCGAGUGUAGAGGUGAAAUUCGUAGAUAUUCGCAGGAACACCAGUGGCGAAGGCGGCUUACUGGUCCAUAACU